UACACCCUACAACAGAGUGCAGCAUGUUCUCCUCACCACCAGUCAAUGAGAAAAGCAGGUGGUGCCACAGAUUCACUCCUGCUGUGUCAUAACCCACAGGUCUCAAACCUGGAUCCACAGGGUCACCAGGCUCCACUUCUCCACCCAAUGGCUUACUGCACCUAUCAGGAGAAACAGAAGCCAGAACACAUACUGGCCAAAAAAAAAAAAAAGGGGACACGAUAAAUCGAUCCCCGAACGCGCUCCCCGUGGACUCCGGAACUCCACCAGGGGAAGAGGCGGAAGCAGAGUCGACGGAGUUGCUGCAGCCAUCAAUCCCACGCCGUGAGGAUGGGAGCUAUGAAAGCUAGAAAUUUCCUUAAAAAAACAUGAAAACUGAAAUUUUCAUGUUAUAACCUGACUCUUGAAAGAGCACCAAACACUGUGAGACAUGAGAUUAAAACAGUGAGAGCUGGC